CACCACGUUGAUAGGCUGGGUGUGCAAGCGCGGUGACGCGUUGAGCUUACCAGUACUAAUCGCUCGAUUGAACUUGAUCGCUCUUGUGAU
rnacentral:rRNA from 1 species